GCCACCUGGGAAAGUACGGUCGCAAGGCUGAAACUUAAAGGAAUUGGCGGGGGAGUACCACAACCGGUGGAGCCUGCGGUUUAAUUGGAUACAACGCCGGGAAUCUUACCGGAGGGGACAGCAGUAUGAAGGCCAGGCUAAAGACCUUGCCAGAUCAGCUGAGAGGAGGUGCAUGGCCGUCGCCAGUUCGUACCGUGAGGCAUCCUGUUUAGUCAGGCAACGAUCGAGACCCGCAGUCUUAUUUGCCAGCAUGCCCUUUGGGGUGUAUGGGUACAAUAAGACGACCGCCAGCGCUAAGCUGGAGGAAGGAGCGGGCUACGGUAGGUCAGCAUGCCCCGAAUCCUCCGGGAUACACGCGGGCUACAAUGGUCAGGACAAAAGGUACCGACCUCGAAAGAGUGAGGUAAUCCACAAACCUGAUCUCAGUCCGGAUCGAAGGCUGCAACUCGCCUUCGUGAAGAUGGAAUCGGUAGUAAUCGUGACUCAAAAUGUCACGGUGAAUAUGUCCCUGCUCCUUGCACACAC
rnacentral:rRNA from 1 species